rnacentral:snRNA from 1 species
AGCUUUGCGCAGUGGCAGUAUCGUAGCCAAUGAGGUUUAUCCGAGGCGCGAUUAUUGCUAAUUGAAAACUUUUCCCAAAACCCUCAGGUUGUUUUUCAGAGUCCAUGGUCU